UACGGAGGGAGCUAGCGUUGUUCGGAAUUACUGGGCGUAAAGCGCACGUAGGCGGCUUUGUAAGUUAGAGGUGAAAGCCCGGGGGCUCAACUCCGGAAUUGCCUUUAAGACUGCAUCGCUAGAAUUGUGGAGAGGUAAGUGGGAAAUUCCGAGUGUAGAGGGUGAAAAUUCGUAGAUAUUCGGGAAAGAACACCCAGUGGGCGAAGG
rnacentral:rRNA from 1 species